rnacentral:misc_RNA from 1 species
UUUUAAUAUUUGUUGUUAUAGAUUGGCGCUUCAUGGGACAGCUCUAUUAAGGAUCUGUAUUGGUGUAACCUAUUUGGCCUUGUGGUUGGUUCCUGGUGCAAAUUGGGUAGAAGUCGGUCUUGGUUUUGUGGUUAGAUAUUGAAGGGAUUACCUCGAGGUGUCGAUCCUGUCUACGAUGGCCACCUACCCUUUAGCUAUAUGAGAUUGAGAAGAUGUGAACUUUGCUGCCUUUUCCUGUAACCACCAUUUAGG